CACUCCGAUGGCUUAAUGAUUAGAGCGUCUCCCUAGGAUGCUGGAGGUCGUGGGUUCGAUCCCCGGUCGAGUCA